rnacentral:rRNA from 1 species
UACGGAGGGAGCUAGCGUUAUUCGGAAUUACUGGGCGUAAAGCGCACGUAGGCGGCUUUGUAAGUAAGAGGUGAAAGCCCAGAGCUCAACUCUGGAAUUGCCUUUUAGACUGCAUCGCUUGAAUCAUGGAGAGGUCAGUGGAAUUCCGAGUGUAGAGGUGAAAUUCGUAGAUAUUCGGAAGAACACCAGUGGCGAAGGCGACUUCCUGGCCUGUUCUUGACGCUGAGGCGCGAAAGCUAGGGGAGCAAACA